UGAAGACUCUGCUUGACUAGCUGAGAGGAGUGCAUGGCCGUCGUCAGUUCGUACUGUGAAGCAUCCUGUUAAGUCAGGCAACGAGCGAGACCCACGCCAACAGUUGCCAGCAUGUCCUCCGGGAUGAUGGGGACACUGUUGGGACCGCUCUGCUAAAGAGGAGGAAGGAAUGGGCAACGGUAGGUCAGCAUGCCCCGAAUUAUCCGGGCUACACGCGGGCUACAAUGGUCAGGACAAUGGGUAUCGACACCGAGAGGUGGAGGCAAUCUCCUAAACCUGUCCUUAGUUCGGAUUGUGGGCUGCAACUCGCCCACAUGAAGCUGGAAUCCGUAGUAAUCGCGUUUCAAAAUAGCGCGGUGAAUAUGUCCCUGCUCCUU
rnacentral:rRNA from 1 species